CUCGCUGAGGACCGGCUCACAGAUCGUAUUUAAGAGCACCAUAGGACGCUCUCGACUGCUGACUGGUGUCUUCCAACCAAUAACUUCCGGCAUUCUCUGGGACAAAGGUUCACAACAGCUAAGGAUCCUAACUAGCUGAGCAUGGUGGUGCACUCCUGUGAUUCCAGCACUUGGGAGGCUGAGGCAGAAGUAUCACCACAAAUCUGAGGCCAGCCUGGUUUACAUGGGUUUUGUUUAUUUCAUUGAGGUCUGAGCCAAUCAACACUCUGCAGGAUGUGGGAUUGGACAGGGCCGCCCCGUGACUGUCAAAAUCCAGACUUGUGUGGUCAUCACGGAGCCUCCUUGUGCCCUCAGGAGGAGAACCAAGGACCGUGCCCUGGAGGAUUCUCCUGUGUACCUGACCUGGCAUUUGGACAGUUUUCCGUUAUGUACUCUGUAGUGAUACACAGCUCUAGAACUCAGUACUCAAGGGACCAGCAGAGGAGGGAAACUGGAACAUCAAUGCCCCUCUCUGAUGCGUGGGUGAACCCUAGUGAUCCUUUUUCAGAAUGGUGUUUCUAAAUGUAUAAUAAAUACUUUGAAUUACAAAA
ensembl:lncRNA